GAGCUAACUCCCAACCCAAUGUGAACGUUACCAAACUGUUGCCUCGGCGGGGUCACGCCCCGGGUGCGUCGCAGCCCCGGAACCAGGCGCCCGCCGGAGGAACCAACCAAACUCUUUCUGUAGUCCCCUCGCGGACGUAUUUCUUACAGCUCUGAGCAAAAAUUCAAAAUGAAUCAAAACUUUCAACAACGGAUCUCUUGGUUCUGGCAUCGAUGAAGAACGCAGCGAAAUGCGAUAAGUAAUGUGAAUUGCAGAAUUCAGUGAAUCAUCGAAUCUUUGAACGCACAUUGCGCCCGCCAGUAUUCUGGCGGGCAUGCCUGUCCGAGCGUCAUUUCAACCCUCGAACCCCUCCGGGGGAUCGGCGUUGGGGAUCGGGACCCCUCACACGGGUGCCGGCCCCUAAAUACAGUGGCGGUCUCGCCGCAGCCUCUCCUGCGCAGUAGUUUGCACAACUCGCACCGGGAGCGCGGCGCGUCCACGUCCGUAAAACACCCAACUUUCUGAAAUGUUGACCUCGGAUCAGGUAGGAAUACCCGCUGAACUUAAGCAUAUCAAUAAGCGGAGGAA
rnacentral:rRNA from 1 species